AAAUCAAAAGUAGAUCUACUUCCUUAGGCGAAUACCAGAAACUCAGAAAUGAAAACUAAUUUUGACUUAACAGUUAGUAGUAGUGUAAAAGAAAAGAAGAAGUCGACAGACAAAAGAGAAUUGAGGAAUGGAAAUAGCAUGGCUGAGUGUUGAAAUAAGAUCUAUUGCUAGCAAAUUUCUGCCAUUGAAUAGAUCCAAUUGAAAUAGACUGAUGAAUCUUCGACACACUUAAAAGAAAAAAAAAUCAACCAACAUGCAAUUAAUGGUUCUUGUAACAUUCGUCGAUCUAGAUGUCCAUAUCCCAACAUGACAAACAUGGAUAAAGCAAAAAAAAAGGAUUCACAUGCUACAGCACGGUAUUAGCAUUAGAAUGAAGUAUUUGAAAACUAUAAAGAAAACCACAGGCAAAUAGUAUAAUCAGUUAAAUUAGUUGACCAGACUAUAAAGGGAUACAUGCAUAAGUUGAACUCUAAACAUUAGCACACAGAUUAGACUGCUAUUUCUGUUCUCCCUAAACUAGAAACUAAAAGAAUCUAGAAAAAGUAAACAGAAAGAGAAGAAAAAGGAUCCCUGUGUGCAAAGUUCAAUAAAGUGUAAAGUUAGACUUCCAAUGCUAUAUGCCAUCGAGUUGCAUUACAGCAAAGUGUUAGACGUCCAAUGCUAUCAAACUAGUAAAGUAGAAUUAAUCCAAUAAGGAGAUGGAGUUGUAACCUGUAGGUAGCGUGAGGUGCUAAUUAUAACUUUAACGAGCACAAAAAGCAUAGCCAGUUAAAAUGAAUAAAACCAGUUACAAGAAUGCCAAAUAUACAGUAUAGUUCUCUUAAUGGCAGUAGGAUCUAUUAUUAUUAAUCUAGAAUUUGCAAUCCAAUUAAAUACAAAAGAUUCAAGCAAUUUAGAUAUUUCUGGGCCAAUAAUAAUAGAAACUCCAUUAUCAAAAUUUGACCACUUGAGUUAGAAAGUAAAAGAUUCCUCCAAGAACCAAAUCUUUCUCAAUGAGGCACUUGAAAUCCAAGAUUUAUUUAGCAAUAUUGACUUCAAUACUUCCUAUUACUUACGUAUGCCAGUAAGAUUGAAGUUAAUUAGCAUUAAAUGUUUGUAAGUUAUUAUAUCUUGGUUGUUUGGAAAAUGCUAUCGUAUUGUAUAGAUGUUUGAGCUUUUUCUAAUUUGAACAUUUACAAAUUUCCUGAAGACCUAGUUUUAGCCCUUUGGAGUGUCAGGCUUCUGGAGUCGGUCUUAACUAACCAGUGGUGAUAAACAAGUUACUAACAGAAGAGGAUCGCAUAGUUAUAAGCAGAUUAUGAAAAUAGAUGCGGGCCACACAACAUAUAUACAGUCACAACACAGAUUGCAAAAGAUAAAGUAAAUUAAAGUUCAAUAGCACUGAAAACAAUAAAAAAAAUUGAAUAGAAAAUCAAAAGUAAAUACAAACCUGUUUAUAUGUAAGCAUGGAACAAAGAGUUUGCACAUCCCUGAAUUUAGGAGUCAGACCAGCUCGCACAACAUUAUCCGAAGUGGCCAUACAUUCGAUGCAUUCUCCAGAUAAAUAAGCAUGUGGUUCAUUUGCAGCAAUAUAGAGUGCUUCCCCAGGGCUAAGCUUCACAUAAUUAAAGAAAAAUGCCGAUAUGACACCAACAUCACCAGGAUACUGCUUCUCCAACAAUAAUGCUAGUUGCUCCUUCUCUGUUAGCAUCCUCUUCUGAUUCAAGCAAUAAAAAAAAAUCAAUAUCUAAAGUGAAAAACAAAGCAAAUCUAUCAGAAAGAAGUGACCCUUCAAUAGAGACAUGGAAAAGUGCACAAAAAGAUGUUUUAGAAGAGCAUAAUCGUUAGGGACAACUUUAUCACGCCUUAACAUUUGAGAGACAAAAACUGAUCAUAAUUAUGUCAUAUAAUUAACCCAAAUACCUUAAAUCAAGUCUCAUCUAUUAUCAUGUUUCUGGGUCCAGUUCUGUAAUAUUAUUCUAUUUAGAAAGCUGAUGUUACAUCUUAUUUUACUAUCCAGUAUUUAAGAUAACGGUGGUUAUCAUAACCAUGUGAUCAAAAUAAAAGAGAACAAAAUGGCAUGGAAGAUAAGAAAUCAACUGCAAAGAUGACAUGUAACUCCUGAAUCCGCAGGCUUCCAUGUUUCGUUGCGCUUCAAGGAAAAUAAUUUGUAGUAUGUAUGAUAUACUCUACCACGCUCAACCAGCAGAUUUCAUGAAUGAUACAAAUGUUCUUUUUAAAUGUCUAGAGUACCAGCCGACCUAUCAAAGUAAUGUUAAACCAUUUAUAAACAAAACCAACCAAAUCUAUGAAAUUUGUAUGAUUGGGCUUGUUGGAGGCCUCUUUUGUAGAGGAAAAAGAGAGAUAAUCAGAGGACAGUUAAAUAGCAAAAAAUGAGAGGCAGUCUCUAGGUUUCAAGACUCUAGAAGGUGAACUUGUUUCUGGAAAUUGUCUAUUUGAAUUCCAAUGGUGCCAAUAGAAAAGUUAGAACAACAGCAUUUUCUUUCGAGAAGGAUUUCUAUUCUCUUUGAGCCACAAAAAAAAUUGUAAGAGCUGAGAUAUCCAUCUUCAUUUCGUUAUGCUUCUCUUUUCACCUGAUAUUUUCCAUUAUUAAACAUCAUUUAUUGAAAACAUUUAAUUCUUCCUUUAUUAUCCCUAAGUUAAAUAAGAUUUCACCUUAAUCUAAUUGGUAAUCCCCUUACUAAUUGUCGCUGCUAAUCUAAAAGAAUAAUUUCAUCACCAAAACAAGCCAUUUAAACAAAAAUCUACGGUGGAUAACCAUAAAAUCCUGUUUCUUCCCACCCGAAACUGAUUGUAAGACUCAUUUGCAUCAAAAAAAACUCGAGUGAGAACUGAAAUAACAUAUCCAGUAAAUACCAAGCUUUACAUGGCCCAAACCAAAGAAAAGUUAUUUUGUCAUUCAAUCCAAUUUCAAAGCCAAUUUCUUAUCUAGGCGUUCCUUAAUGCUUGAAUUCUAAUGAAAACAUUCAAUCCAUAUUGCACAACCCUCCCACAUUGAUCGAAGAAAUUUCCAGUAUAAUAAAUGCUGUCUCUCUCAUACUGGUACAUAAUUCAUAGAAAAGCUCUCCUUAAAAUAAUGCUUAUAAAAUAAUAUAGUAAUUUUACAUUAUAGAAGGAAAUCCAUCCUAUUUACGACCAAAGCCAUUAAUAACAUAGUAAUAUCCUAUUUCUGAAAGGGUUGCUCGUCAAUGGGCUACUUUAAACUACUUUUGUAACCACUAAACAGUAAGCCCUUCUUAGAGAAUCUAAGGGCAGAAAUAUCGCAUGCUGAUCUGUAUACUAGUUUCAAAUUUAAGAGGAGAAUGCAUAAGCCAUGACAAAUGCAGGAUCUAUGAAAUUCAUCCAAAAUGCACAACUGUAUUGUCUAACAGAAGCAUACAAUAAUAAAAAGACUACUAACGAGUGCAUAUCAGAAAAUUAGUGUGGACUAGUCCAGCAAAGAAGUGUCUUCAUUUGAUUUUUCAUAUUGCUAUGUUCACAAAAAGCUUAGAGAAAUAAAUACAUUUAGAAAUGCCAGUUCCCCAGUAUAACCAAAACGGAGAAAAAGAAUGGAUUGCACAAGAGCAACAAAAUAAAGCUCGAUACAAUAUACUAAAGCUUAAUAAAAUAGCGGAAUAACCAAGGUAUAUACAAUAUGCUAAAGCUUAAUAAAGUUAGCAGAAUAUGAAGUUCAUUGCCAGAGAUCACUGAAGCAUAAAGAUAUAAAUAAAACCAUGACCUGAAAAUAAGGACCAGCAAGAGAAUGGUUUUAAUUAAGAGCAAGAAACAGACAAAAGAGCAGCCGAAUAGAAAUAACAUGAAUGACUAUAUAAAUUGCAAAUGAAAGAACUAUCUUGUAUGUUUAUUUUUAAGUUAUCAAUAUUACUAUGUUUUUCUUUUUUUCAGUGCAUGCUGCUUUACUGAUUCUUUUCCUGAUCUAUAUGAACACAGUCACAGUCAGGAGACAGUAAGUUGGCAAUCUUUAAUGAUAGCAUUAUAUAUUUUUACAGAAACAGAAAAAGAAAACAAAACGGACUAAUCAACUAUGCUUUACAAGAUAAUAAUGCUUAGUUAGUUCAACCAAACAACUUGAGACAAUCAUAAAGCAGUUAAUAAGAUCAAAACAGACUAAUCAACUAUGAUUUACAUGAAAAUAAUGCUUGGUUAGUUCAUCCAAACAACUUAAGCUAAUGGAUGAAACAGUUAAUAAGACAAUAGCAAGGAGAAGGAAAAUGUCAAUAACUAUAAUACUUACACUAAUCAAAUCCUACUUAAGAUAUGUUAAUUGCAACUACCUUAUUAUCGCUGUUCAAACGGCUUUUCAGUUUCAAUACUGCUUCAGAAACUGCUUCUUGUUUUGCUGACAUAAGCCUUGUAAAAAUUGACUGCAGAAAAGAUUUUGGUUCGAUGUGUCCGUCAUGCUCUUUGUCAUUCAUAAUCUUGCUUAGUUCCUUAUAACCAACCAGCUCUAGAAUCUCAGGUACAGUUGCGAGCACAUCCUUAAGCUCCUGCAAAGCCACAACAUCACGAUGAGUCGAACUACUUUUCAAGAGCCAUUCGUAUAUCAUGAAUAAUAAGAAACACAAGGAAUGCCCAGUAUUAAUUUGUAUUGUAAGAAGGUAAUAAAGCAGAAUCUUUCAAUGAAAAAAUAAAUGCAUGCACUAUAGAGCAGUAGAGAGAAAGCGAGACUUCCCAAAACCAAGUUGAACUAACGGAAGGAAAAAAGAACGAAGCACUGCAAGACCAAGAACCAAGAAUAAUAAUAAAGUGAGGCAUAGGUGAAAAGAUAAGAAAGUUAUGCAGUCAAUAGAUAGAGGUUAAACAUUACAUGAGAAAGUAAAAUCAUGUACUCAAGUUAAAGCUUGGCUUGAAUUUUUGGCUGUGCUCCAAAUUUUAACACAAAUACUUCAGUUUGGUAGGAACUUGAAAUUUUGGUACAAAACAAAAAUCUUUAUUGAGUUAAAUCAAAAAUAAAAAAACAAACAAAUGAUAAUAUGUAUUUAAAGGGUCACCUAAAAUCAGUACAAAACCUCUCCUAGCGCAAAUAUGACACUUCAAGUUUGCUCUGGAAAAUAGACAAACAUGAACUAUAUGUCAUCAAAUGAGGCUAAUAUCACAGAGAAAAAGAAGCAAUUGUAUGCUUAAAGUAAUCAUGGUAGACACUUGGCCAAGUCGGAAGAAAUGCUUGUCACUUGCUACUCUUGGAAUAAUAAAAUAAGAGCAUUAGGUACUAUCCAUACAAUGCAAAAUAUCCAUCUUAUAAACAUUUAUAUUUGAAAAAAAAAAUUGGAUCGUUCACAAACUUUAGGUUGCAUACUAGGAAAUCACCAGAAACCAAUCCACAUAUAACAUUUUUAUAUUCUGAAAAUGAAAUAUAUGAUGCUACCAUAACAGAAAUUUUUCUUCCUAUAUUUCUGUUGUUGUAUAUUUAUUUGAACCACUUCUUUUCCAAUACCUUAAUACUUCCCAAAUUCCAAAUUUUUUAAACUUUUCCCACUUCUCCCAGGAUGCAAAACUUGUGGCAUUGUUGCUACAUCUGUACAGGAAGACAAACUAAACAAAGAUUCUUCACCUCAGCAAUUCAGACUUUUGUCAUAAUCAAUGUGUGUUUCAUUCAAUAGAUUAUGAAAUUUGAUGAAAAGAUGUCCUGCAAGAGCUUAGAUGAGGUAUAGCAACAUCUGGGAUGCAGAUCUAAAAGCAUUCUAAGAAUCUCAUCAAAAACGCAGAUCUAAAAACAUUCUAAGAAUCAAUCACUAAUGUCCUGCAAGAGCUUAGAUGAGGUAUAGCAACAUCUGGGAUGCAGAUCUAAAAGCAUUCUAAGAAUCUCAUCUAAAACGCAGAUCUAAAAGCAUUCUAAGAAUCAAUCACUAAUGUAAGCACACCUAUUGUAGCAUCAAUACCAGGCGAAAGUUCCCUUUCAGAAAGUGAAGAACCAAUUAAUGAAAAUUGUUCAGAAAAAAGCCAAAUAGACCAUAACAAGAGAAAUUUGCACAUAUCAAUUCUGACAAGAAAAAUAUAUAUAUGAAUAGAAAAGGAGAGAGAAAAAGAAUAGAAAGGGGAGAAUAUGCUACAAGAGUAUAAAGUACAUAAAAAAGGAUUUCACGAUGUAUUGCAAAUCUACAGCUAGAAGGUUAAAUCUUUAUAAAUUAGAUAUCUUAAAAAGUAUUUUUCCUUCGAGAAUUAAUUAAUCUUGACCUAAGCAGUCAUUUUGCAAGUGUUUUGAUCUUUACGAAUCUUUCCGACUGGAUAACUUACUGACACUCUGGCGGCCAAACAGCAUCGUUUCAGUCCUUAAAUAGCAAAUAGAAAACACCAUCAAACUAUAAAUACUGAAGCAAUAUCUCAAGUAAAAGGAACCAAAAAUUAUAAUUUAACAUUUGUCCAGCAGUUAUUGAUGAGAAACAAAAGCAAAAGCAGAUUACGGAUUCCGAAUCCACUGUUUCUUUCUCAAAAAGAUAAAUGCAGACAGAAUGCUGAAUAAACACACUAACCCAUUCCAACCUCAGCAAUCAUAAGGUACAAGUAAAGAUGAAUCACACAAUGUGCACCGACACGAGAGGUAACAGAAUAAGUAAAGGAUGAGCAUUUCUACCAACUGAACAGUGGAUUGGGGAAUCCAACCCACGACCUCUUGAAAUCGAGGGGAUUUAGGAUUGAUCUGAUAGAAAUUAAUUCAGUACCAGUCAUAGCAUCGUACAAGCAAACAAAAAAAAGGUCAAUUUUAUACUAAUUUAAGAUACGGUAAGCCCCACAAAUUUGGUAAUCAAUCCAUUUCGAACUAAAAAUUACACAAUCCAAUACCUCAAUGGUGACAAACCCACAGAGGGCCCUGAAAUCGGUGAGGGCGAUGGCCAUCUCCGGCUUGUGAUUCGCGUCUUUGUAAAUGGUGGGCCGCAUCUUAUGCAGCACCUUCGCCAACUCCUUAUCCGGGUGCGCCUGUAUCGAUAGCGCCUUCGCCACGGACAACACCUACUCAUCCCAAACACACAAACACAUACCAUAAACCCUACAUUUACGAACAAUAGAUGGAAAAGGCUCAAAAGGAUGCCAAAUUUAGCGGAAAAGGGAAAAAAGUGGGACGGGACCUUGAAGAGGAAGGGGAGAUCGCCGGCCCACCGCGCGGCGACCUUCUCCCCGAGGACGCUAGGGUUUUGGAGGAUCCACUCCUCGAGCGAAACGGGGUCGGCGCCGGAGCGGAGGAGGAGGAAGGAGGGGCCGGAGCCGUGGGUGCCUAUCCAGAACUCGGCGUAGGGGCGCGCGGGGUCGACCUCGGCGGCUGAGUUGCGCGCGAAGAGGCGCGCCACGCGCGAGUCCUCGCCCAGUCGUAGUUCUGGACGGAGCACCGGAGCCGCAGCAGCGGCAGCGGCAGCGGCGGCGGCGGCGCCAUUGGGGGGGCCUUGUCGCCCUUGUUGCCGUUCUCGACCAUUGAGAAUCCUAGAAGGAGGUGGUGGCGAAUGGGGAAUCCGAAGGGGAGGAGAGGAGGGGAGUGUCGUCGCCAUUGGAGAGCAUCGGGUGCGAGGUUUUUAAAGAGGAGAGGGAAAGGGGAAGAGGGGGGGAUUUGGGAGGUGAGAGCGACCGGGGGUUGAGAGAGAACGAGGGCGACCCGGAUACACUCACUACUCUCGGCUCGGCUCGGCUCGGCCUCGGCUCAAAUCAGUAAUUUGCAGGAUAGCAUAAAAUAUUGCACGGAGCAGUAGGGAUGCAAACUGAUCCUGGUUGGUGGAGCUCCCGCCCCAAUCCGUCCUGAAUGAGGCAGUAAACAAAAAAAAAUAAACAGAUUCGGAAAGGAAAACGAAACAAUUUUUAUAAUCUGAGACGGAUUCAGGGCAGGAAACGAAAAAAUUUUUGACCCGCCCGGAAUCCGUCCCACCAUGAUUCGCCUCGAAUCUGUCGGGAAAAUCAUUUAUAUUUUAAAAAAAUAUCUUUAAAAAAAUAAUGUAUUUACAAAAAAGUUUAAAAUACAAAUAAAUUAGUGCUCUCAUUUCUCAUAUAUUUGAAACUUUUGAAUUUUGCUUCGAAUUGUAAUUGAUAUUUUUUUUAUUUGUAUAAUUGAUAUUGUUAAUUAUGUAUACAUAAUAUUAUUAAAAAUUAUUAUUUUAUAUUUUACAAAAUAUUUAAAAUAUUAUAAUUUUAUAAAAUAUAUUAGUUUGAAGGGCAGAUUCAGGACACCGGCGGGAUGCGGGUUAUGAGGCAGAGCGGAUUAUGGGAUAUAUUUUUUAAUCCGUCACGGAUUCGAGGUGGGAGGCAGAGCAGAAUUUUGAUAGUUAAGGCGGGAGGCGGGGCAGGACGGGGUUCCCGCCCUCAAAUCCACCCCAUUUGCAUCGCUAUGGAGCAGAGAGAUUGCAUUUUUUAUUAUUAUUAACUCCUACACUUUUUUCGGAGACUGUUUGGUUGCAUAUAUAUAUUUACAACUAUACUAUAGUUAUAAUUAGAGUUGAGCUGAAAUACUAUUAAUAGUAUUUGAAUUUUUUUUGUUAUCGAUAUUUUAGCCGUUAAAUUUACAAUUUAAUCAAUUCCACCCUUUAGCUCAUACUAUUUAACCAACCACCCAUUCAAUUUUAUGGGAAUCUCUAUCAUCCUAACCUAUAAUUUUUCAUCCAUGGAUUAAAAACUCGAUAGUAAAAGAGUCCAAAUGCUAUUUAUAGUGUUCCAGCCAAUUCGUUAUAAUUAUAUGCAAAUCUAAAUUUGAUGUUUGAUUAAAUGCUAGUUAAAUUCAGCUAUUGAAUUUAAAAUUAUACAACGACUCAACAAGGAGAAUAACUUUAAACAAAAACAAAAAUUCACCUCUUUAAUCACCUUAUAAAUUAAAUUUUCUAACAAAUACUAUUGCAACUGCAACACUUUUUACUAUGUAUAUUCAUUUUUAACUAUACUCUUUUUUUUUUAUAUUUAUAUGGCCUUUUUGCAUAAAAAAUCCACUUAUUUUGGGCUUUUGCAAAACCGGGCCACCUUUUUCGUUUUUGCAGAUUCGGUCCACCUUUUCAGCAAAGUGACCAAAAUACCCUUAUUAUCUUUUCUCUUUCCUCUUUUUGUUUCUUUCGUUCGUUUUUUUUUCUUUUCGCCUCCUCCCCGACUCCCUCCCACUCCGCUCGCCUCUACCGCCUCGCCUCAUCCCUCCGCGCAUCCCCCCCCCCCUCUCUCUGCCCUCGACUUCCCUGGACCGCGCCCGCGCCGACGCCGAUCGCCUUCUCCGCCCCCCUUCUCCCCUCUCCCUCCCCUUACCCCGACACAAGGUCUACACCCUGCCCAGGCUGCUCAAGGUCCGCCGAUGGCGCUCUGCGCGAGCUCUGCUCGACAUGACGAAACGGUCCCCAAAACCUCCACUCCUACUCGUCUACAUGGAACCCUCUCCAAGUCCGAAGCUCUGAACAGUCCGUCCGACUCUCAAGGAGAUGUCCGAAAGUCGCCGCCGACGCCUGCUACGACCGCGCAUCCACGGGCCCUUUGAUCUUUAUCAACGUCGUGUGCCGCCGCAGCCGCGCGGGGAGCGCUGUCGUGGUGGCAGCAGCGGCGGGGCCGAUGCACGCGGAGGCGGCGGGCGGGCACGCAAGCGCGCUGCGGCUGCUUCUUCUUCUUCUUCAUGGUGUAAUGGUGCACCAUUAUACCAUUAAUGGUACCCAUUACACCAUUAAUGGUGUAAUUUCACCAUUACACCAUUAAUGGUGUAAUGGUGCACCAUUAAUGGUGUAAUUACACCAUUACACUAUUAAUGGUGUAAUGGUGCUCCAUUACACCAUUAAUGGUGUAAUGGUGUGCACCAUUAAUGGUGUAAUGGUGCUCCAUUACACCAUUAUGAAGAAGAAGAAGCCGUGUGCACCGCGUACCCGCCCGCCGCCGCCGCGUGCACCGGCCCUGCCGCCGACCUGGCCCCGCCCCGCGCUCGUGGUGUUCGACGAAUUGCCCGCUUCAGGGGCUUCCUGAUCCCGCGCUUCCUCGGCUUCUCCAGCAGCGACAAGGGAAUUCUCCCUCCGCGUGCGCACGGAGCGCGGCCCCCUCGGCAUGAGACUUCGGACGAGGUCGAGCGCCGCGUCCGGGGAGUGGGGAGCGGGGCGAGGGAGCCCGGCGCGGUCGCACCAGCUGAGGAUCGCGUUCCUGAUAGCGACGUUGGGGAUGAAGAGAGGAGAGGCGGAGGCGGAGGUGGAGAGGUUGAGGGCGUGGGAGAGGCACGGAGGGGUGAAGGCGAGGUCGAGGCACGCGUGGACGCAGCUCCGCUCGCGAUCGGCAGUCGCAGGCACAGCGUCACCACCGACGAGUCGCGCACUCCGACCUUGGCGCCCGACCUGCGCCGCCUCUGCUCCUUCGGCGGCCGGAGGCCCCCACUGUUGGCCGCCUUCCAUGCAGAUCGGGAGAGGGAGGUGGACGCGGCGUCCCUGGGGAAAAGAAAGAAAAAAGAACGAGAAAAAAAAAGAGGAGAGAGAAAAAUGUAUAAGGAUAUUUUGGUCAGUUUGCUGAAAAAGUGGACCGAAUCUGCAAAAACGAAAAAGAUGGCCCGGUUUUACAAAAGCCCAAAAUAAGUGGAUUUUUUAUGCAAAAAGGCCUAUUUAUAUCCAAUCAAUAACCUUUUAAACACUCCGAUUCAUGAAUUUUGUGCAUUUUAGCUGUUUUCUUGUUUUUUCCGCAAUAAUUAAUAUUAAUAUAAUAAUAAUUGAACGUUACAAUUUACAUAUGAGUUCGGUCCAUAGGCUUGGUCCAGUUAUUUAAACUGGGACGCGGCUCGGCGCCGCGCCGAGUUAUCGUACUCGCAGUAACGGCUCGGAACGACGCGGUUACUUCGUUUCUCCUCCCGUAUCUAAAAUUCUAAAUACGGUUGGACUCUACUGAAUAAAGCAGGUAAUAUUUUGCCACUACAUUUCGCUAAAACUACGAAAACGCCCCUUUCCGCUUUUCACGCUGUAGAGAACUCUCCACGUGUCGCAUUUGAAGCCCGUUGGAUCUUACAUUGGUCGAAUCAAACGUACGGCCGCGAUCAGGCGGUGCGGUGUAACGCACGCGUCACGCUUUUCGCGUGUGCGGAUAGAGUCGAAACUACGUACUUCAAAUGGAAAAUGUGGAUCUAAUCGUUAAAUCCCACAAAUCAAGCAUUAAUUUUUUUCCAAAAAAAUAAUAAAUAAUAGUUUUUUGGUUAAUAUCAUACAGUUUCAGGUAAAUAUAGUGAAUCAUAAAUAUAUUUUUAUAAAAUUUAAUUUUCAUAUGUUGUUUCUGUAAAAAUUUUAAUAUUUUUAAUAUAUCCAUCUAGUUUGUUACCGUUAGAGUACUGUUCAUAUUUUCAAUUUCGUCAUCACAAAUGCUCCUCCAAAAAUUAUAAUAGUAUAAUAUAAGAGGGGUAAAAAUAUCAAAAACUAACCAGGGUUAACUAUUUAAUCUAUGGUUAACUAAAUUUUUCUAACAGAUUUUAACGUCAGAAAUAUACUUAAAAAUAUCAGAACUUUUGCAGCGACAACAUAUGAAAGUUGAACUUUGUAGAGAUAUAUUUAUCAUUCACUAUAUUUAUAGUGACAUAUAUGAAAUUAACCCUAUAUUUGUCAUUCACUGUAUUUUUAGAGCUUUCCAAUCGACGAUCUACACCUUUAAAUAUGAUCUAGAGUAUUUGAAAUUUUUAGAAUAUAAAUUUCAUUUUUUUUCGAAAUUAUAAUAAAGCCUAUCAAACGGGUAUAAAAUGAACAGUCAAAAUCGAACGACGUCCUAAAAUUAAUACAUGAUCUAGUGCUUUAAUUUAAGAUCGAAUUUAUUGAUCUUUAUCUAGAUAGUGAAUAGAAUUUUCUAUAAAAAAUUUAACCAUCUUAGUUCUUUUACACUGUUAAACUAAUAAGCAACCUAUACGGCCAUUUAAAAUUAGCAAUUUUGAGAUCUAUUGUAAGGUAAAUAAUGUUAAAAAUUAUAAAAUGUAAUUUUUAAAAAUUUUAAAUACUUUAAAUAAUAUUUAACUGUAUAGAUCGUCGAUUCAAAAAUUUUAUCAUAAAAAAUAACUUAUAAAUACGAAGACGAUCACACUCACAAAAGUACAGUAGCACUAACCGAACUCAAUGAACUAUAGGCUAUAGAUGAGUUUUACACAUUUUUGCUCAUGGAAAAUUACCAGGUAUAAAGUUACUCGCGGUAAGGUUACCAUAAAGAUUCUUCCUCAUGAAACACACAUGUGAGUCAACUUUUUUAUUUACAUAUUAUUUUAUUAUUAUAGAUAAGUAUGGGCGCUUGCCGAGGAUCUGAUUUGUUAUAGGAGUUUGUUGACAUUCGAUUCCGUGCUUUAAUAUUCGGAAAGCGUUCCAGCCUGGAAUAAUAUAUAAUAUACAUAUAUACAUAUAUAUUUAUAUGGUUUAUGGUAUAUAAUAUAUAUUAAUAUUAAGUUAAUAUUUAAAUAUUAGUAAGUAUAUAUAUUAAGUAAAGUAAUUAAUUUGUUUUGGGCAAUCGACGUGGUGCUCUGGAAUAAGUUCGAAGUAUAAAACCCACGUUGAGAGUGUUGGGAAAAGGACGUGCGCUCCCCCACCACAGGAAUUUAAAUAAUUGUUUUAAUUUUGGUCCAAAUUUUGGGGAACUAAGAUCUCACCGAAAAGUUUCUCCAAUGAGAAGGAUAGAUGCGAAUUAUUAGAUUAUUAAUUUAUACAAAUUUUAAAAGUAAUUAAUUCAAGGAGUUUGUUUGAUUGUUUAUAGCUAUUAUUAUUAUACACGGAUUCGAAUAUAUUGUUUGGUUUGAUGUAAUUGAAUUUAACUAUUUUAGUUGGAAUUGUAUGAAAGAAUUCAACUGCAAUAGUUGGAAUUAUUAUGUCUAAAUUAUCUGCAAAUAGUUUGAGAGAGUAAUUUUAAUUAAAAACUAUAAAUUCUAUCUAAUCACCUUAUAAAUGUGAUUUUUUUUUUUUUGUAUUGCAGGUAAUGAGAGAUUACUUUAUUAUGAAAUGUAAAAAUUAUAAAUUAGGCAAUCCAAAAGCUUGAGUUGCAGAAAAGGUACAACCAAUUUACUUAAAAUGCUUCGAUAAAGUGUGCGCCUAAAAAUCUCAAUUUGUGACUUGAUUCAACCAGGCUCCUGCCACUUCGAUCACACAAAUCUUAAUUUGUGACUCGGCCCAACCGGCUUCUUACCAUUUCGAAUACGAUUUCGAACGUGACUAGAUCCAAUCUGAUCUUCCGCCACAAGACAGAAUGAUUUACAAAAAAAUAGUAAUAAAAAAGAGAAGAAAUAAAUAAAAUUUGAUCUUAUCUGACACUUGUAUAAAGUAUUUUGCUUUACUGGCCUACUCAAAUUUCAUAUUUUCAAGUCCUUUUCUUUGUACUUAUGAUUGACAAGUACAUAUAGUUGUAAAAGUUAGAUCUGCGCAAAAUAAAAUUAGGUCCGUUCUGAGACAAGAUAAGAUUUUUGUCGAGAGAUAACUUUUACGAGCUCCAGCUGAGCCAAACAGAUAUAUUUAAUUUUACAAAAAAAAAACAUUGGAUUGAAUUUGAUUGUUUUAAUUUAAGUUAUUCUAGUAAACCAAAUAUGAUAAUACUUUAUUACUUAACAGGUCGAUUUCAUUAGUACUUUUAAGUUUAACUAAAACUAAAAUUAAAUAAUAUGUUAAUUAAAAUUUAUUGUUAAAGUUGAGUGAUCUAUUCUCCAAUAUGGCUAUAGUUGAAGGUGUCUCAGCACAUUUACCUUUUAUCCUUUUUUUUUUUAAUAAUAAAUAUGUGAAUUCCUAGUGAGCAAGCAAUAACAGAUCACACACUUCAAUGUCCACACGGAAGUGGCACAAUUUCCAAACACAAAUGAGAAGAAAUAUUUGAGCACUAAAGAAUUUAAAAUAGAAAUAUAAAAAGGAUAGGAGUUAAAAAUUGCUAAUUAUGCUAUUAUAGUAUAAAGCGUUUGGUACUAUCGAAUAUUUGGUUAAGAUUAUAGGGGUUUUACCGACCGUCCUUAGAACAAAUAGCAAAGGGCUUAGUGGUUGAUACCCGAGAUCCAAGUUCGAAUCCUAGUUGAUUCAUAUUUUCAGCUAAGUUUAUUUUUAAAUAAAAUAAACGAAGCGGUUAGCGUGCUAUCUAUUUUUCAAAAAAAAAAAAGAAGAAGAUUAUAGUGAUUUUUUAGGGUUGAGCAGAUGGUUGAAUAGUACAACCUAACGGGUGAAAAUGAUCAAAGAAAUAUAUCUAACAGCAGAAAACUCGAUAGUACCAAACGCUUAGUACUAUCGAUAGUAUAGUAGUCGGACUCAGCUUAAUAUUACUAUGUUUUUUGUAAAUAAUAUAUAUUUUUGUUGAUAUCAGGGUGGGAGGUAGUAGAUUUCUAACAAAUUUUCAACGAAUCAAGACGGAUCGAGAAAAAAAAGGGUUCUCUGCCUUUGUUAUAUUUUCUUAACAUAUCAUAAAUAUUAUUUAUUAUUUAUUAUUUUUAUUCUCAAGUCACUGCCAAUUAGAGCAGAUCGGGAUAGGUGCUCCAUCAACCGGAUCCAAUUGCAUUUCUAUCGUUGUCUUAAUUGUUCAUUAUUUUAAUUUAAAUUAAUAAAAAACUAAAAAAUUAUUAAUUAAAUUGGUAAUAAUUUUGAUAAAUCAAUAGUACAAACUGUUUUCAACAAGUGAAAUUCUGUUGCAUUAAUAACUCGUAUAGCUGUUAAAUUCAAUAUACUUUCAUAUCUAAUCAGCAAUAAUAACUCACACUAAAGUAAUAACAAAUAAUCGAAGGAAUUAACGCAUUUUAAAUGACUUUUUACCUACACAAUCUUAAAGAUUUUCUUAUUACUCUGCAGUAUAGUUCUAUGACAUUUUGAUAUGUCUACGCCAGUGAGAACUAAAAGCCUUCACGACCUACUGCUUGGAUAAUAUAUGAAAUAACUGCUAAUAACUUAAACAGCUACAACUAUUAAAAAAAAAAGCAUUUUUUAUAUUUUAUAUUUAAUGCUCAACACAUUUUUAUCUCAUAUCUUUCUUGUGAAAAGAGGGGGACCAACCUUGAAUAUUAAAAGGGUUGUUGCAUAAUUGAACUCCUAGUAGGCAGGCAAUAACAGAUCACUUUGGCUGCAACCUGAAUACUUUAUUGGUUUCUGUAGGUAGGUAAAAAUUAAAGAAGGAACAUUUAAUUCCUAUUAAGAUCUCCACAUUGAAAUGAGUUGCAUCCAUGCAUGCUGCCACAUUAAUAUACGCACAAUUUUCAAUGUCCAAGGAAUUGGCACAACAUCCUAUUGAGAGAGAGAGUGAGAGAGAUUUUAUGUGGCCAUAGUGAUUAUAAUUUAAGGAAUAUAUUGUUGUACAUUAAACUGACUCAAAUGUAAGGUAAACUUCAAUUUGUUUAGCUCCUUUUUACAUUACCAUCUUGUACUUUAAAAAAUUAUACCUAUCUAUUAUAAGAUUUAGCUUUUUUUUCUUCUGGCACUUUAUAGUUCAAAAAGUUUUAUAUAACUAUUCUAUGACUAUAAUAAAAAAAUUUAUUUUGCCACCAUAUCUGAUAAUAAAUUUUUUUAGAUUUUUUUGCAUAAUAAGAAUAUACUAGUUUUUAAUAACCUCAUAAUUUAAGUGGCUUAAUAAAUUAAUAGUAAACUUGUCAUACCGAAUAUAAAAUAUACAAUAAUUUCAAAAUAUUAUAUAUCUCGAUCAAAACGGCCCCUAAAAGAAAAUCUAUAAAUCAUGGGCCAAACUUGUUUCGGAACCCAUUAACAUCCUUGCCUAACACUCAUGUUUUUAUUGCUUAUUUAGAAAGCAAUAGUUUUCAGAAGCUAAGGCAUGUGAUCAAUAAAUACUCUAAAAACUUUAACAGUGACAAAAAGCGAAAGCUCUAAUAAUGUAGAUAAAAAAUAUUAGUGUUUUCUUCGAACAGUCCUUUAAACCUACUGGUGCAAAAUGCCGAAGCCCGAUUUUUAUUAGUAAAUUAAGCUUAAUUUUGGUCCUUAUAUUUUCAUACAUAAUUAAUUACUCUCUUAUUUUGAUAUGGAACUAUUGAGAUGUUACAACUAAAAUAAUAUUUAGAUCCAAAUUUACUUGCUCUAUAAUACAUGAUGAAAAAAUAGAGACACUAAUAUAUACCUCACAUUCUAAUAUUUGUAUUACAGUAAUUGAAGGUGGUAAAGAGACAAAUAACGUCAAUGUUGGAAAAAAUGAAAUAUUUAUUAUCAAAUGUUAGAGAAUAUGCUUUUUUAACCCAAAAAAGAAAAUGAUUAAUGUAUAAUUUAAAGAGCCCUUCUUCGAAAAAGUCUAGCAUAAAACAAGCAUUUAUUUGGUGGAUCCGAUGCUCUAGUUUAUUUCCCUUUUGUCUCCUAGUAAAGAUACUUUUCAUUAUUUGACUAAUAAAAAGCUAAACAAAUUAAGUGAAGGAUCUCACUUACUUAAUUCUUUGGGUACUCCAAUAUCUAUGUAGUACUCUUGCUAUGAUUCAUACUGAUCAAAGUUAAUCACCUUUAACAUAUGGAAGCAAAAGGAAAAAAAAAAAAAUGUUGGCGCAGAUAGGUCAGCAUCCAGCGUAUGUAAAGUAGGAUUAGGUCAAAUCAUAAUUAAGAUCCGUCGACAUUGUAUAUAUAUAUGUACGUUUAAUUAAAUUGGUUACUCUAUUUCUAAUAACUUUCCCUCUACGUCUCUAAUUGCUCUCGCCUAAACUACUCUUCUGUUUAGGCAUUAUUCUUUCUGGCUCCUGGUGUGUCACGUAUCACCCUCUGUCUUGCUCCUAUCGUUUGAGUACGCGGCUCGAACCGCUUUACCAUACGACACUAUUUUUCUAAUGCCAACAGUAGGUUUAACAGAAAAAUUAACAGAUAAUGUAUCAAAAAGUAAAGAUAAAAAUCAUAGAAUACAUAAGUGAUACAGGUAACCCCACAACAUACAAAAGUUAAAAACCUGUAAAACACAAAAAUUAAUAGGUAUCUAAGGUUUUCCUUCUUUUUCUAUUUGAUUUGAAACUAUUGGAAAGUCACAACUAAUAAUAUUAUGAUCGAGAUUAACUUGCCCUCUAAUACGUGACAAACAAUAUAUAUUACAAUAAAGCGAUAAAUCACACAAAUAUUGCAAAGUUUAAAUAUAAAUUUUCAGACGUUAGAAAAGUUUUAUGUGUUUUGACAUAAUAAAAAAAUAAUCAAUAUAUAAUUGAGAGGUCCUCUCUUAUUCUUUACCAAGGGGUUAUGACAAAUAUUGCAAGGGCGAGGAAACAUCAAAAGAUUAUGGAUCCAAAGUUCUAUAAUAAAGCAAGUACAUAUUGGUGGCUCCAAUGCACUAAUUUUUUUCUCUUUUUGUCUUCUAGUAAAGCUGAUUUUCAUCGUUUGAUUAAUAAAAAACUUAAAAAGGUGAAGGGACUUAACUUAAUUCUUCGGAUACUCCAAUAUCUAUGUAGUACAUAUUUUUGCCAUAAUUCAUACUCAAAGUUAUCACCUUUAACACAUGGAAGCAAAAGGGGUAGUUCAGAUCAUGCAACAAAGUAAUAAUGAUCAAUAGUUUUAUCAUUUUUAUUUGUGAUCAUCUAAAUAAUGGAGAAUAAUAUAAAGUGUGUGUUUUUUUAGAGAAAUUCAAAAAAAUCAAAUAAUAAUUUAUUAUUAUUUUUUUCCUAUUUUCUUACUUAUCACCUAUCGUUAGAGAUAUAUAUAGCUGAAAAAGUUUAUAACUUGAGAAGAGAUAAACAAGUUAGUUUAGAUAUGUUAAAUAUAUUAUUUCUAAACUUAUUGUAUAUUAUAUUAAUCUUUUAGAUAAUAUGCUAUCAAAUUCAAGUCAAAGAUUCUACAAUUUAUGUACAUCCUUAUUUUUUAGGGAUAAUUGCCUAUAUACCCCUCAUACGUUUGAAAAUAUUCGAUUUACCCAUAAUUUUUUUUCUUUCUAAAAUACCCUUCAUAUGUUCCACCGUUAUUACAAAAUACCCCCGCAGUUAUCUCCUGUUAAGUUAACUUGAGUUAAACAUGAGUUAAAUAUCUACCACAGUUAAAAAAAAAUUAAAAUGCCAAUUUUGCCCUUAACUUAAGGGCAAAUAAGAAAUGUUGGUGACGGUAGAGGAGUAUAUUGGAAAAGGUCAAAAGUGAAAAUAUUUUUUGUGCCCCUGACAUUAAGGGCAAAUAAGAUAGUGUCACGCCCUGGGGCCGAUUUUAAAAGCUUUUUUAAAAUCCAUUACCAUUUUGAAACAGAGUUGCGGAAGACGUGCUAUUUUUUUUUUCUUUUUUUUUUUUUAUUCAACCUGGCCCACGUGACGUACAGAUCCGCCACAAAUACAAAGUUUCUCUAUCCACUCAGACAGAGUCUCCUUUGUAUUUGCACAGCGUACCAACUAUACAACAGGAUCUCAACCACAACCUAUAUUUACCAAUCAACAACUAAUUCAUGAUAUGCAUUUUCAUACAGCUAACGAUCCUUAGAGAUGAUGCAUGCCUCUAAGCACUCCUUAGGCGCUGGAUGAUGCAAUGCACAAUACAACAAGCAUCCUAUUUAAAAGUGCUCUCCACACGGAAACUUUUGUUUUUAAACUCUAAUUCAUUCAUUCAUGAAAACCAUUCGAAAACUUUUUUAAAACUGUUUCCCACACGGAAACUCUAUUUUGAAAAUCAACUAUCUCGAGGGGUAGAAAACCACGAUGCGUAAAUAUGUAUAAAUACACAAAUUCGAGAACUGAAUAUCCAUAAAACCAAAACCAGUGAUCCACAAAAUCUCUAAUCAUGCAUAACCAAAAUCACAAACAUUCAAACAUCUAACUGAACCAUUUAUUAUUAACAACAACUAAAUGCGGGAAGAAAUAUAACGAGGGUGACGGUCGCUACUG
rnacentral:lncRNA from 1 species